CAAACAUUUCUCCAUCAGCAUCAAAUAUCCCACUAUCGCCUCCUUCGAACAUGUCACCACCACCUCAAUAUCCUACUGAUGACGCUUACCACCAGCCACCUCACUAUCCUACUGAUGACUCUUACCACCAGCCACCUCAAUAUCCUAAUGAUGACUCCUACCACCAGCCACCUCAAUAUCAUAAUGAUGACACUUACCACCAGCCACCUCACUAUCCUACUGAUGACUCUUACCACCAGCCACCUCAAUAUCCUAAUGAUGACUCCUACCACCAGCCACCUCAAUAUCAUAAUGAUGACACUUACCACCAGCCACCUCACUAUCCUACUGAUGACUCUUACCACCAGCCACCUCAAUAUCCUACCGAUGACACUUACCACCAGCCACCUUCAAGCAACAGAACAGAACAUUCUCCUUAUUCUCAUCAGCCGUAUCAUCCUCCACCCUACCAUCAAGAACCAAAGCAGCACUUACCGCAACAGUACCAUCCUCACGACGUUCCCCCAUACUCAUAUCCUAAUUUC
rnacentral:lncRNA from 1 species